rnacentral:rRNA from 1 species
UACGUAGGGUGCGAGCGUUAAUCGGAAUUACUGGGCGUAAAGCGUGCGCAGGCGGUUCUGCAAGACAGAUGUGAAAUCCCCGGGCUCAACCUGGGAACUGCAUUUGUGACUGCAUGACUAGAGUACGGCAGAGGGGGAUGGAAUUCCGCGUGUAGCAGUGAAAUGCGUAGAUAUGCGGAGGAACACCGAUGGCGAAGGCAAUCCCCUGGGCCUGCACUGACGCUCAUGCACGAAAGCGUGGGGAGCAAACAGG